GACGGAGGGCGCUAGCGUUGUUCGGAAUCACUGGGCGUAAAGGGCGCGCAGGCGGCCCGGCGAGUCGGGCGUGAAAGCCCGGGGCUCAACCCCGGAACGGCGUCCGAUACUGCCGGGCUCGAGGCCUGGAGAGGGUGGUGGAAUACCCAGUGUAGAGGUGAAAUUCGUAGAUAUUGGGUGGAACACCGGUGGCGAAAGCGGCCACCUGGCCCGGUCCUGACGCUGAGGCGCGAAAGCGUGGGGAGCAAACAGG
rnacentral:rRNA from 1 species